GUUUUUCCUGUGCUGAGGUCCAUGCAUCUGAUAAGACGAAUCAAGAACUGGACUCGAUUUCGGAUGCAUUUCUACUCCAUUACAUACUUGGUUUGCUCCAACAGAUGGGGGAACCACAGAAUUUUCG